ANUUUAACGCUGGCGGCAGGCCUAACACAUGCAAGUCGAGCGGAAACGACACUAACAAUCCUUCGGGUGCGUUAAUGGGCGUCGAGCGGCGGACGGGUGAGUAAUGCCUAGGAAAUUGCCUUGAUGUGGGGGAUAACCAUUGGAAACGAUGGCUAAUACCGCAUAAUGCCUACGGGCCAAAGAGGGGGACCUUCGGGCCUCUCGCGUCAAGAUAUGCCUAGGUGGGAUUAGCUAGUUGGUGAGGUAAUGGCUCACCAAGGCGACGAUCCCUAGCUGGUCUGAGAGGAUGAUCAGCCACACUGGAACUGAGACACGGUCCAGACUCCUACGGGAGGCAGCAGUGGGGAAUAUUGCACAAUGGGCGAAAGCCUGAUGCAGCCAUGCCGCGUGUAUGAAGAAGGCCUUCGGGUUGUAAAGUACUUUCAGUUGUGAGGAAGGGUGUGUAGUUAAUAGCUGCNCAUCUUGACGUUAGCAACAGAAGAAGCACCGGCUAACUCCGUGCCAGCAGCCGCGGGUAAUA
rnacentral:rRNA from 1 species